rnacentral:rRNA from 1 species
GACGAACGCUGGCGGCGUGCCUAAUACAUGCAAGUAGAACGCUGAAGGAGGAGCUUGCUUCUCUGGAUGAGUUGCGAACGGGUGAGUAACGCGUAGGUAACCUGCCUGGUAGCGGGGGAUAACUAUUGGAAACGAUAGCUAAUACCGCAUAAGAGUAGAUGUUGCAUGACAUUUGCUUAAAAGGUGCAAUUGCAUCACUACCAGAUGGACUUGCGUUGUAUUAGCUAGUUGGUGAGGUAACGGCUCACCAAGGCGACGAUACAUAGCCGACCUGAGAGGGUGAUCGGCCACACUGGGACUGAGACACGGCCCAGACUCCUACGGGAGGCAGCAGUAGGGAAUCUUCGGCAAUGGACGGAAGUCUGACCGAGCAACGCCGCGUGAGUGAAGAAGGUUGUCGGAUCGUAAAGCUCUGUUGUAAGAGAAGAACGAGUGUGAGAGUGGAAAGUUCACACUGUGACGGUAGCUUACCAGAAAGGGACGGCUAACUACGUG